rnacentral:rRNA from 1 species
CCCUUAGAUGUCCGGGGCUGCACACGCGCUACACUGAAGGAAUCAGCGUGCUAAAACCAUUGUCGAAAGGCAUUGGUAAACCCAUUAAAAUCCUACGUGAUUGGGAUCGGGAAUUGCAAUUAUUUCCCUUGAACGAGGAAUUCCCAGUAAGUGUGGGUCAUAAGCUCGCGUUGAUUACGUCCCUGCCCUUUGUACACACCGCCCGUCGCUGCCCGGGACUGAGCCGUUUCGAGAAAAGCGGGGACUGCUGCUGUCGGGGCUUUCGGGCCUUGGCUUCGGUGGAAACCGCUUUAAUCGCAGUGGCUUGAACCGGGCAAAANUCGUANCA